GGGGAAUAUUGGACAAUGGGCGAAAGCCUGAUCCAGCCAUGCCGCGUGAGUGAUGAAGGCCUUAGGGUUGUAAAGCUCUUUUGUCAGGGAAGAUAAUGACGGUACCUGAAGAAUAAGCACCGGCUAACUUCGUGCCAGCAGCCGCGGUAAUACGAAGGGUGCUAGCGUUGUUCGGAAUCACUGGGCGUAAAGCGCGCGUAGGCGGCUAUUCAAGUCAGGGGUGAAAUCCUGGAGCUUAACUCCAGAAUUGCCUUUGAAACUGUAUAGCUAGAGUGUCGGAGGGGAUAGCGGAAUUCCUAAUGUAGAGGUGAAAUUCGUAGAUAUUAGGAGGAACACCGGUGGCGAAGGCGGCUAUCUGGACGACAACUGACGCUGAGGCGCGAAAGCGUGGGGAUCAAAC
rnacentral:rRNA from 1 species